rnacentral:rRNA from 1 species
CGUCUGCCCUGUGACAAUAGUUCAACGGCCGCGGUAUUUUGACCGUGCAAAGGUAGCGCAAUCACUUGUCUUUUAAAUGAAGACCUGUAUGAAUGGCACAACGAGGGCUUAACUGUCUCCUUUUUCCAGUCAAUGAAAUUGAUCUUCCCGUGCAGAAGCGGGAAUACAACCAUAAGACGAGAAGACCCUAUGGAGCUUUAGACACAAGACAGAUCUUGUCAAACACUUCAAAAAAAUGAAACAAACAAAAAGAACCCUGCCCUAAUGUCUUUGGUUGGGGCGACCACGGGGAAACAAACAACCCCCAUGCGGACUGAGAAUACAAUUCUCACAACCAAGAGCUACCCCUCUAAUUAACAGAAACUCUGACCUUAAGAUCCGGCAAUGCCGAUCAACGAACCGAGUUACCCUAGGGAUAACAGCGCAAUCCCCUUUUAGAGUCCAUAUCGACAAGGGGGUUUACGACCUCGAUGUUGGAUCAGGACAUCCUAAUGGUGCAGCAGCUAUUAAGGGUUCGUUUGUUCAACGAUUAAAGUCCU